UGGGGAAUCUUCCGCAAUGGACGAAAGUCUGACGGAGCAACGCCGCGUGAGUGAAGACGGCCUUCGGGUUGUAAAGCUCUGUUAUUCGGGAAGAACGAUUCGUUUGUGAACAAUGAACGGAAGUGACGGUACCGAAAGAGAAAGCCACGGCUAACUACGUGCCAGCAGCCGCGGUAAUACGUAGGUGGCAAGCGUUGUCCGGAAUUAUUGGGCGUAAAGAGCGCGUAGGCGGUAUGGUAAGUCUGUCUUAGAAGUGCGGGGCUUAACCCCGUGAGGGGACAGAGACUGUCAUACUGGAGCCUCGGAGAGGAAAGCGGAAUUCCUAGUGUAGCGGUGAAAUGCGUAGAGAUUAGGAAGAACACCGGUGGCGAAGGCGGCUUUCUGGACGAGCACUGACGCUGAGGCGCGAAAGCGUGGGGAGCGAACAGG
rnacentral:rRNA from 1 species